CAAAACUGCCCCCGACUUAUACAUGAGAUCGACUUAUACACGAGUAUAUACGGUAAAUUUGAGCUGUCAGCUUAUUUUUUGUGUAAAUUUUCUGGCAAGAUUUAUUUUAAAUUUAACAACCUGUGUAGCUGUAAUUACCCACAGGGGGGAUUUUUGGUAGUUGCACAACAUAGACAUGACUGUUCUGGGCUGAAACUGUAUCACAGUUUCAAACCUUAGUGACAGUU